rnacentral:lncRNA from 1 species
GUGAUUUUUCCUUAAAAUUUUGUGUGAAGGUAUUUCAUGAUUUGAGGAACAAAAUAUGAUGAAAAAAAUUGGGGGUCACCGACUUACUUUUGUCGCUAUAGCAACCUCAGUUUCGUGUCUUCACGAAUAUUAACAUAAUAUUUGCUUGUUAUAUAAACUCUCAAAAAAAUACUUUAUAUCAAACCUACAAGCAUAAUUCUUGUUUCAUGUUAAACAGUAGAUUUGUAUUUAUAAAAUACAGGUUCAAGAGUUU